rnacentral:rRNA from 1 species
UACGUAGGGGGCUAGCGUUGUCCGGAAUCAUUGGGCGUAAAGCGCGUGUAGGCGGCCCGGUAAGUCCGCUGUGAAAGUCGGGGGCUCAACCCUCGGAUGCCGGUGGAUACUGUCGGGCUAGAGUGCGGAAGAGGCGAGUGGAAUUCCUGGUGUAGCGGUGAAAUGCGCAGAUAUCAGGAGGAACACCAAUUGCGAAGGCAGCUCGCUGGGACGUGACUGACGCUGAGACGCGAAAGCGUGGGGGAGCGAACAGG